rnacentral:rRNA from 1 species
AUUGAACGCUGGCGGAAGGCUUAACAAAUGCAAGUCGAGCGAGCGGCGGACGGGUGAGUAAUGUCUGGGAAACUGCCUGAUGGAGGGGGAUAACUACUGGAAACGGUAGCUAAUACCGCAUACCAUCAGAUGUGCCCAAAUGGGAUUAGCUAGUAGGUGGGGUAAUGGCUCACCUAGGCGCAGAUCCCUAGCUGGUCUGAGAGGAUGACCAGCCACUAGGGAACUGAGACACGGGCCAUACUCUGCCGGGAGGCAGGAGGGGGGAAUUUUGCAAAAUGGGCUCAAGCCUGAUGCAGCCAUGCUGCGUGUGUGAAGAAGGCCUUCGGGUUGUAAAGCACUUUCAGCGAGGAGGCGUUACUCGCAGAAGAAGCACCGGCUAACUCCGUGCCAGCAGCCGCGGUAAUUC